GACAGAGGUGCCAAGCGUUAGGCGGAAUCCCUGGGCUUAAAGCGUGUGUAGGCGGCUCGUUAAGUACCUUGUGAAAUCCCACGGCUCAACCGUGGAACUGCUCGGUAUACUGGCGAUCUUGAGCUGUCUAGGGGCUACCGGAACAAAUGGUGGAGCGGUGAAAUGCGUAGAUAUCAUUUGGAACGCCAAUGGUGAAAACAGGUAGCUGGGGACAUGCUGACGCUGAGACACGAAAGCCAGGGGAGCAAACGGG
rnacentral:rRNA from 1 species